GAUGAACGCUGGCGGCGUGCCUAACACAUGCAAGUCGAGCGGACAGGUGAGGAGCUUGCUCCUCGGACGUUAGCGGCGGACGGGUGAGUAACACGUGGAAAACUUCCCUAUAAUACUGGAAAAAUCUGGGAAAACCGGGGCAAAUCCGGGAUAAUCUAUUGAAGCACAUGGGGGGAUCGUGAGAGCCGGCGUUGCUGUCUGUUAUCGCGGCGGAUGAGCUUGUUGGUGGGGUAGGGGCUUACCAAGGCUACGAAGGGUAGCCGGCCUGAGAGGAUGAUCGGCCACACUGGAACUGAGACACGGUCCAGACUCCUACGGGAGGCAGCAGUCGGGAAUCUUCGGCAAUGGGCGAAAGCCUGACGCAGCAACGCCGCGUGUGUGAAGAAGGCCUUCGGAUCGUAAAGCUCUGUUAGUAGGGAGGAACAGCUUUGUAAGUUAGUAUGCAGUUCUUGACGGUACCUGAUAAAGAAGCAACGGCUAACUACGUG
rnacentral:rRNA from 1 species